GUAUUCCUACGGGACGCAGCAGUGGGGAAUAUUGCACAAUGGGGGAAACCCUGAUGCAGCGACGCCGCGUGAAGGAUGAAGUAUUUCGGUAUGUAAACUUCUAUCAGCAGGGAAGAAAAUGACGGCACCUGACUAAGAAGCCCCGGCUAACUACGUGCCAGCAGCCGCGGUAAUACGUAGGGGGCAAGCGUUAUCCGGAUUUACUGGGUGUAAAGGGAGCGUAGACGGCAUGGCAAGUCUGAUGUGAAAACCCGGGGCUCAACCCCGGUACUGCAUUGGAAACUGCCAGGCUAGAGUGUCGGAGG
rnacentral:rRNA from 1 species